rnacentral:rRNA from 1 species
GACGAACGCUGGCGGCGUGCUUAACACAUGCAAGUCGAACGAAGAGCGAUGGAAGCUUGCUUCUAUCAAUCUUAGUGGCGAACGGGUGAGUAACGCGUAAUCAACCUGCCCUUCAGAGGGGGACAACAGUUGGAAACGACUGCUAAUACCGCAUACGAUCUAACCUCGGCAUCGAGGAUGGAUGAAAGGUGGCCUCUAUUUAUAAGCUAUCACUGAAGGAGGGGAUUGCGUCUGAUUAGCUAGUUGGAGGGGUAACGGCCCACCAAGGCGAUGAUCAGUAGCCGGUCUGAGAGGAUGAACGGCCACAUUGGGACUGAGACACGGCCCAGACUCCUACGGGAGGCAGCAGUGGGGAAUCUUCCGCAACGGACGAAAGUCUGACGGAGCAACGCCGCGUGAGUGAUGACGGCCUUCGGGUUGUAAAGCUCUGUUAAUCGGGACGAAAGGCCUUCUUGCGAAUAGUUAGAAGGAUUGACGGUACCGGAAUAGAAAGCCACGGCUAACUACGUG